rnacentral:rRNA from 1 species
AGAGUUUGAUCCUGGCUCAGAACGAACGCUGGCGGCAGGCUUAACACAUGCAAGUCGAACGCACCGCAAGGUGAGUGGCAGACGGGUGAGUAACGCGUGGGAACGUGCCCUUCAGUUCGGGAUAACCCAGGGAAACUUGGGCUAAUACCGGAUACGUGCGAGAGCAGAAAGAUUUAUCGCUGAAGGAUCGGCCCGCGUCUGAUUAGCUAGUUGGUGGGGUAAUGGCCCACCAAGGCGACGAUCAGUAGCUGGUCUGAGAGGAUGAUCAGCCACAUUGGGACUGAGACACGGCCCAAACUCCUACGGGAGGCAGCAGUGGGGAAUAUUGGACAAUGGGCGCAAGCCUGAUCCAGCCAUGCCGCGUGAGUGAUGAAGGCCUUAGGGUUGUAAAGCUCUUUCGUCCGGGACGAUAAUGACGGUACCGGAAGAAGAAGCCCCGGCUAACUUCGUGCCAGCAGCCGCGGUAAUACGAAGGGGGCUAGCGUUGUUCGGAAUCACUGGGCGUAAAGGGCGCGUAGGCGGCCUGAUAAGUCGGGGGUGAAAGCCUGUGGCUCAACCACAGAAUUGCCUUCGAUACUGUCGGGCUUGAGACCGGAAGAGGUAAGUGGAACUGCGAGUGUAGAGGUGAAAUUCGUAGAUAUUCGCAAGAACACCAGUGGCGAAGGCGGCUUACUGGUCCGGUUCUGACGCUGAGGCGCGAAAGCGUGGGGAGCAAACAGGAUUAGAUACCCCCGUAGUCC